UGCAAAGGUAGCAUAAUCGUUAGUUUUUUAAUUGGAAUCUUGUAUGAAUGGUUGGACAAAAAAAAAUCUGUCUUUAUAUUGUUUAUUGAAUUUAACUUUUAAGUGAAAAGGCUUAAAUAAAUUAAAGGGACGAUAAGACCCUAUAAAGCUUAAUAUUAAUAUUUUACUUAGUUAAAUUUUCUUGUUUAUAAAAACUUAGUAAUUGAAUUUAUUUUAUUGGGGCGAUAAAGGUAAAAUGACUACUAACUGCUUAAUUUUUUAUACAUUUAUAAAUGAAUUAGGAAAUAAAUGAUCCUUAAUAUUAAAGAUUAAAAGUUUAAGUUACUUUAGGGAUAACAGCGUUAUUUUUCUUAAGAGUACAUAUCGAAAGAAAAUUUUGCGACCUCGAUGUUGAAUUAAAAUACCUUUAUAAUUGCAGCAGUUAUAUAAGUAGGUCUGUUCGACCUUUAAAAUUUUACAUGAUU
rnacentral:rRNA from 1 species